CUCUCAUCUGAUAAUGUACCCUACAAGGUAAUCUAACUUAGCGAUGUUGAACUACAUGCCAUCCUCUCAAAAGUGUUUCGAUCAUUAAGAGUAUUGCAUCCUAAAAAUGUAAAACAGAGCAUACCUUGUAGACAGCUCCAUAACCCCCUUCUCCUAACUUGUUUGAAGGACUGAAGUAGUCUGUGGCAGCUCUCAACUCAGCAUAGCUAAAUGUGUUUGGUCUAGGACCAAUUGCAAGAAGCACUGCAGAGUCAAGGCAAGUAGUGGGCUGUAAGUUCUAGUGAUGAAAUGAGAAAAAAAACCUUUAUGUAAUAUUUCCAUAUUAAUUAUAAUGCUGACUUUGUUAAUGGUACUAGAGUUGAAGCUGCUCGGUAUUAGAUAUGCAAUGUUUGUGAAGGUACAAAAUCAUGUUGAAAAUAUCCAUAUUCAACAACCAUGUUUGACACAUAUGAUUCUCC
rnacentral:lncRNA from 1 species